rnacentral:rRNA from 1 species
GAUGAACGCUGGCGGUAUGCUUAACACAUGCAAGUCGAACGGUCACUUCGGUGAUAGUGGCGGACGGGUGAGUAACGCGUGAGAAUCUGUCUUCAGGUCGGGGACAACAGUUAGAAAUGACUGCUAAUACCGGAUAUGCCUUAUGGUGAAAGAUUUAUUGCCUGAAAAAGAGCUCGCGUCAGAUUAGCUAGUAGGUGGUGUAAGAGACUACCUAGGCGACGAUCUGUAGCUGGUCUGAGAGGACGAUCAGCCACACUGGAACUGAGACACGGUCCAGACUCCUACGGGAGGCAGCAGUGGGGAAUUUUCCGCAAUGGGCGAAAGCCUGACGGAGCAAUACCGCGUGAGGGACGAAGGCUUUUGGGUCGUAAACCUCUUUUCUCAAGGAAGAUAAUGACGGUACUUGGGGAAUAAGCAUCGGCUAACUCCGUGCCAGCAGCCGCGGUAAU